rnacentral:snRNA from 1 species
AUCGCUUCUCGGCCUUUUGGCUAAGAUCAAGUGUAGUAUCUGUUCUUAUCAGUUUAAUAUCUGAUAUGUCCUCGAUGAGAGGACUUUAUAUUAAACGAAUUUUUGGGUUUGGGAGUUGGACCCGGAGCUUGCAAAAUUUUAUAUAUUCAUC